rnacentral:rRNA from 1 species
AGAGUUUGAUCAUGGCUCAGAUUGAACGCUGGCGGCAUGCCUUACACAUGCAAGUCGAACGGCAGCACGGGGGCAACCCUGGUGGCGAGUGGCGAACGGGUGAGUAACGCAUCGGAAUGUACCCAGUAGUGGGGGAUAACUAGUCGAAAGAUUAGCUAAUACCGCAUACGCACUGAGGUGGAAAGCGGGGGAUCGCAGGACCUCGCGCUAUUGGAGCAGCCGAUGUCCGAUUAGGUAGUUGGUGGGGUAAAGGCCUACCAAGCCUGCGAUCGGUAACUGGUCUGAGAGGACGACCAGUCACACUGGGACUGAGACACGGCCCACACUCCUACGGGAGGCAGCAGUGGGGAAUUUUGGACAAUGGGCGCAAGCCUGAUCCAGCAAUGCCGCGUGUGUGAAGAAGGCCUUCGGGUUGUAAAGCACUUUUGGCGGGAGCGAAACGGCGUUUGCUAAUACCAGACGCUAAUGACGGUACCCGCAGAAUAAGCACCGGCUAACUACGUGCCAGCAGCCGCGGUAAGACGUAGGGUGCGAGCGUUAAUCGGAAUUACUGGGCGUAAAGCGUGCGCAGGCGGCUUUGUAAGACAGGUGUGAAAUCCCCGGGCUUAACCUGAGAACUGCACUUGUGACUGCAAGGCUAGAGUGUGUCAGAGGGAGGUGGAAUUCCGCGUGUAGCAAUGAAAUGCGUAGAUAUGCGGAGGAACACCGAUGGCGAAGGCCGCCUCCUGAGAUAACACUGACGCUCAUGCACGAAAGCGUGGGGAGCGAAACAGGAUUAGAUACCCUGUAGUCCACGCCCUAAACGAUGUCAAUCUAGGUCGUCGGGAGAUUUCGUUUCCCUAGCUAACGCAAGCUACCGCGUGAAGUCCGACCCGGCUGGGGGAGUACCGGCCGCUAGUAUCAAACCUGAAAUUAGUCGAUCGGGAUCCCGCUACUAAGCGUUAGGAAUGCAUGUGUAUCUACUCUUCGAGUAUGCUCAC